rnacentral:lncRNA from 1 species
UCUCGCUGUCGCCCAGGCUGGAGUGUAGUGGCGCGAUCUCGGCUCACAAUAUGUAUUAAUUGACAAUUUAUGUUACAGAGAUGGAGGUCUCACGAUGUUACCCAGGCUGGAGAGCAGUGGCUACUCACAGGCGGGAAUCCCAAGAUGGCCUCCAACUCCUGGACUCAUGCUAUCUCACCUCAGCUUCCUGAGUAGCUGAGACUACAGGCACACACCACCAUGUCCAGCUUCAAUAUCCUUUUAUGUAAGAUGAUGGAACUGAGCUCAUUGAUGUGAGGUGACUUGUUGAAUGUCAUGCGGCUGCAAAUCAUGAGGCUGGCAUCUGAGCUCGGUUCUGAGUGCAGGGACCACAUGCUCUGUCUAUAUGUUACACUCUCCAACCGCAACUCCAACCUGCCACCCACUCCUGAUGAGCCUCUCCGUCUGCAUGACCAUGUGCCCUGCUGUGGUAGGCAGAAUAACAAACACCCACAGGCACCCACAUCCUAAUCCCCAGAACCUGUGAAUAUGUUAUGUUACAUGGCAACAGGGAAUUCAGGUGGCAGGUGGAAAUAUGUUUGCGAACCAGUCGAUCGUGAGAUAGGGGCAUUAUCCUGCGUUAUCAGGGUGGGUCCAGGGUGAUCACAGGAAGAAGGAGGCAGAGGACAGAGUCAGAAAAUGUAUGAUGACAGAAGCAGUGAUUUUAUGUGAGAAAGACUCAACUUGCCAUGCUGGCUUUGAAGAAUGAGGAAGGAGCCACGAGCCAAGGAAUGCCGGCAAAUUCUAGAACUGGAAAAGGUAAGAAAAUUGUGAGAGGAGGAAGAAAGGAAGCAAGAGGGAAUGAAUAACACUGGAAAUGCUACUAGGAUAAGUAUUUCUUCAGGCAUGGGCUUCAGAAAUCUAGGGAUCAAAAUCAUGCAAAGACAUCAUCUGGGCUUGUUCCAGGGAGGCAGGAUUCCAUUCCUCACUAUCAACAUAAUUCAUGGUUUCUGUUGGCUCUUGCCCAUGGAGGAGAGGAUCAGGCCCAAGCUUUGAGUACAUAUAGAGGCUGACAAUGCUCCGACAGGGACAGAAUACUGGGUAGUAAUCAGAGCCCACCCCUAACUUUCAGGAGGCAGAAAUGGACAGCCUUGGGCCCCUGAAAGUGACAGGCAACAGGGCUGCCUGGUGCUGAGCACUUUUAAAAAUAAGAAGUGGCUCAAUUAAUCGAUAAAAAAUGGUACACAUAAGCCAUGAAAACAGGGACCCACAAGCCAAAGACUGGACCAUCUACAUGAGCUGCUUAAACUUGUAAUGGGGCUGAGAAGGUCAUUCCCCCAAAAUGUGGUGGUUUGAGAUGUUAAACUGAAGAAGAAACAUCAAGGUCUCUCUCACCUCCCCACUUCUUGCCUCUCAAUCCUUUCUCUCUCCUAAAGUGCAGCAUAAAGUUGUUCCCUGAAGUUCCCUCAUCUGCCUAAAGUCCAGACCCAUCAAAGAUGAAAACAAUGAUCCCUGGUUCCUUCCCUGGGUUUUCAUUAACUAAACUCCUCUUACAGGAAGAAAGAUUAAAGUCUGUUAACACACCCAGACAAACUUUUGUCACAAACCGUCGUCUGCUCAAUGGGCCCAACAGAUCAUUGUCCCAGAUCAUUGUAUGUUUUUUAAGCCCAUUGAAUUGCCCUAAACAUUAUUUACUACUGUGCUGAAAUAAUCCACAAUUUCCCAUUUCCAUUUUCUCUAAGGAGAAGUGUAUAGAAGCAUCUGUACCCCAUUGUGUGAUGAGGUAAUCACUGUGGUUCACCCUGUGGAUGUUAAUAAAUUUGUGUGCCUUUUCUACUAUUAAUCUGCUUUUUGUCAAUUGAUUUUCAGCAAACCUUCAGAGGGUGAAGGGGACAUUUUCCCUUGGCCCCUACACCUGCAUGUUGUUUGCGCUUCAUUUCUCCAUUAUCGUUCAUUUUAAUAGGAGAAACAGAGAAUGGGGCCUGAGUUUUGUCCUUCUCUUUGAUCUGCUUGUGCAUUUCUCCCUUCAGUUAUUUUUGGUCUUUGUCUAACAUUCUGACCUCUCAGACUUUGUUUAAAGGCAGCCUUCUGCGUUGAUCUCACUGGGAGCUGCAGACUGAAACUGGCAGAGACAACAAAACAAGAAAAUUUCA